AUUGAACGCUGGCGGCAGGCCUAACACAUGCACGUCGAACGAGUGGCGGACGGGUGAGUAAUGUCUGGGAAACUGCCUGAUGGAGGGGGAUAACUACUGGAAACGGUAGCUAAUACCGCAUACCAUCGGAUGUGCCCAGAGGGGAUUAGCUAGUAGGUGGGGUAAAGGCUCACCUAGGCGACGAUCCCUAGCUGGUCUGAGAGGAUGACCAGCAACAAUGGAACGGAGACACGUUCCAGACUCCUACGGUAGUCAGCAGUGGGGAAUAUUGCACAAUGGGCGCAAGCCUGAUGCAGACAUGCCGCGUGUAUGAAGAAGGCCUUCGGGUUGUAAAGUACUUUCAGCGGGGAGGCUUUACCCGCAGAAGAAGCACCGGCUAACUCCGUGCCAGCAGCCGCGGUAAUAC
rnacentral:rRNA from 1 species